GCAUGUGGUUUAAUUCGAUGCAACGCGAAGAACCUUACCUGGUCUUGACAUCCACGGAAGUUUUCAGAGAUGAGAAUGUGCCUUCGGGAACCGUGAGACAGGUGCUGCAUGGCUGUCGUCAGCUCGUGUUGUGAAAUGUUGGGUUAAGUCCCGCAACGAGCGCAACCCUUAUCCUUUGUUGCCAGCGGUCCGGCCGGGAACUCAAAGGAGACUGCCAGUGAUAAACUGGAGGAAGGUGGGGAUGACGUCAAGUCAUCAUGGCCCUUACGACCAGGGCUACACACGUGCUACAAUGGCGCAUACAAAGAGAAGCGACCUCGCGAGAGCAAGCGGACCUCAUAAAGUGCGUCGUAGUCCGGAUUGGAGUCUGCAACUCGACUCCAUGAAGUCGGAAUCGCUAGUAAUCGUGGAUCAGAAUGCCACGGUGAAUACGUUCCCGGGCCUUGUACACACCGCCCGUCACACCAUGGGAGUGGGUUGCAAAAGAAGUAGGUAGCUUAACCUUCGGGAGGGCGCUUACCACUUUGUGAUUCAUGACUGGGGUGAAGUCGUAACAAGGUAACCGUAGGGGAACCUGCGGUUGGAUCACCUCCUUA
rnacentral:rRNA from 1 species